CGAACGCUGGCGGCGUGCUUUACACAUGCAAGUCGACCGGAAAGGCCCUGCUUUUGUGGGGUGCCCGAGUGGCGAACGGGUGAGUAACACGUGAGUAACCUGCCCUUGACUUUGGGAUAACUUCAGGAAACUGGGGCUAAUACCGGAUAGGAGCUCCUGCUGCAUGGUGGGGGUUGGAAAGUUUCGGCGGUUGGGGAUGGACUCGCGGCUUAUCAGCUUGUUGGUGGGGUAGUGGCUUACCACGGCUUUGACGGGUAGCCGGCCUGAGAGGGUGACCGGCCACAUUGGGACUGAGAUACGGCCCAGACUCCUACGGGAGGCAGCAGUGGGGAAUAUUGCACAAUGGGCGGAAGCCUGAUGCAGCAACGCCGCGUGCGGGAUGACGGCCUUCGGGUUGUAAGCCGCUUUCGCCUGUGACGAAGCGUGAGUGACGGUAAUGGGUAAAGAAGCACCGGCUAACUACGUG
rnacentral:rRNA from 1 species